rnacentral:lncRNA from 1 species
AAGUCUAUUUGAUGGUGACAGUUGAGUGAAAUCACUACAACAAAAAGGGUAUAUAGCGACACUUUUAAAUGUCGGUACAAGUCAAAAAAAAGUGCAGUUGGCUAAAUUACCGACACUUUUUAAAAGUGUUACUAUAUGUGGGGUCGCUAGGUAUAUAGUGACACUUUAAGAGUGUCGGCAUAACUUAAAAAAAGAAUGCUGCUAAUUUAGCAACACUUAUUUAAGCAUUUAGCAAUCGCCGGAACCCUACCUCGUCGGCUGUGGCGCAGAAGAGAAAGAGAGCGAGGGGCUCUUCGUCUGGGAUUUCAGUAGAUUGAGUAAGGGGGGAAGGGAAUAUGGUGAUCGAUUUUUCAUUUUUUUUUUCUUUUCUGUUUGUAAUCGGGACGAAUGGGCUAGGCAGGGUGGGUUGAGUAGAGUAACAUUUUAUUUUUGGUUGGAUUGAGCUUUAUAUUUAGGCCUUAGUAGUAUUUUUUUAAAGUUUUGGCAUAAAUGGGACACUUACACAAAAGUGUCCUAAAAAUGUAUCGCUAUAACCUAAUUCUAUUGUAGUGAAUGUGGCUAAUUCGAUCGCAGAUCUGGCAAGUG